UUAAUCUCUUACUGCAGCUCGUUGUAAAUUUAACUUCAUCGUAGGUCCUCUCGCGUAGAGGAGAAAUCACGAUAUAUCCAGGGUUGGCUCCCAUCCGUGCUCCAGGCAUCACUGGGCUCCUCCCCUGGGGUGCUGGGUCCCGGCGAGAGCCCUCCGUGUGUCUCCUGAGACUCAGAUGAGGGGACUUUAGGGGACACGGCCUUGCUGGCCAACCCCUGGCCCUCUCCACGGGACCUUUUCUCCAGGUUGCCUCUCUGGAACGGCUGUUGGGGUCCCAGAAGAGUGACUGUUAGCCCUGCUGCCCUCCACCUGCACCGAGCGGGGCGUGCCGGGCCUGCCCUCCCUGACCGUGUGAGCAUCAGUGCAUCUCUUCAAGCUCGUGUCUCUUCAUCCGCAGGGCGGGUGUGGGUCCCUCCCUCGCACAUGCGGGGGGUCCCGGGUCACAGCCAUCAAGGGCUUAAUACCACUUACGGUGCUGGAAAGGCUAAAAGCUGAUGGCUGGGCAACAAUAAUGAUAACAAUUAGGAACAUCUGUCACUGGUAACAAACUCCUCGGCCUGGGAGUCUGAGGGCUGGAUCUCCACGGCUUGAGAGGACCUGGACCCCUCAGCCCCGGGGAUGUGAUGAGUGGUGUCAGUGUGGUGUGAGCAGUUGAGUGACACCUUGGGCCUCCUUGACGCCUGGGGGCGUCAAGUGUGUGUGAGUGUGUGUGUGUGUGAGUGUGUGUGUGCACGGCAGGCCUCUGAGCACCCACAGCUCCCACAUUCCAGCUCUUAAAUCAGCCACAGCCUGGCCGGGGGACCUUGCGGUGGGCUAGAGCAACGUCUCCGAAGUCGGGCUCCCCAGAGCCCUUUCCACUCCCUCCGAGGUCAGCGACAUCCCUGUGAGGUCCAGCGCCCGGCACCUGGGGAGAUCCUGGGAUGAUCUGAGUGAACUCUGGGGACAGAUAACCCAUCGGUGGAUUUUGCACACGUGUUUUCUCAUUCCUUCUGCUUUGUGGCCGCAGCUUGCUUGGAGUGCCUUGUUAGAACAGGGGGUCAGGACCCUGUCAGGUGACACCCACAUUGGUGAACUGGGCUCCCAGGCAGCAGCGGGACCGAGGACCCGGGCGGCCGUGUGCCGAUGGGGGUGGAGGCUGCGGCCCUGGCUUGCUGGCUUUCGAGACCGGGUGACUCAGAUGACAGCUGCUGGCCAUCCUGUCUCUGAGGUCCAGAUGAGCUCGGCUCUAUGCCCUUUGUUCCAAGACCCAGGGAAGUCCCCGUGACUCCGCAAAGCCUCCCCUGUACUUCUGCUGUUCCCAGUCCUAGCGGGGCGCAGCGGGCGCCCGGGUCCCCACCCUCCUCGCUGUCCCUUCUCCUGGGACCCCGAUUCCCGGAAGUGCUGCCUCUGCUCUGUGCCUCACUGACCCCGAUGACGUGAAAUUGGCUCGAUUUCCAGAACAGCAAGAACAACAAACAUUUACAUAAAAUAUUCAUGCGUUCAGUAUCUUCUACUGAACUCUUUGGGGAAACCUGGGGGGCGGGGGCCUCGUCUCAGAACGCACAGCCUCGUACCUCUGCCCGCUGCCUCUUCCCUUUGUCACGAGUGUAGCGGAGCGGCUGUGAGCACGGCCUCGGGGCCAGACGGCCUGGGUUCCCAUCCCAGCUCUGCUGCGACGCACCGGCUGGGCCACCCUGGGCAUCUUCCCCCACCUCUGGGGGCCUCCUUAAACUGAGGUUGCCGAUGGCACCGCUCCCAAAGCUCAGACAAACUGAAAAACCAGCGAUCGUAAGGUACCCACAGCGUAGUCCAGCUUGCAGGAAGUCCUCCAGCAGCGACUGGGAUGUUUAACCUUUCUCACUUUGACAACUGGGAGUUACCACCCCACCUGCUCCGAAGGGUACUCGUGAGGGUGAAAUGACUCCCGUGCGUUGUGGACAUCUGUUUUUGGCUCUUUUCGGGGGAUGCGUGCUGCCAGGCCUCCAGCUCCCGUGGAAUUCUCGUCCGCGCGGUGUGGGUGGACCCCGUGCCCCUCUCGUUCCACUGAAGCCCUUGGCCGCUGAGGCUCAGGCCGGGGACCCCGCCUCCGCCAACUGACCAUCUCCCCUCUGGGUCCCCAUGCAAAGAUGCGGGAACGGAUGGGCAGUCCUGUCAGAGGGAGUGGCGGCCACGUGCCCCAGCCAGCCCGUCCGUGAGCGUGACCGUGGCUGUGAGUCCUGCCCUGGGGCCACCCUCGGUUCCCAUCAGUUUUCCCAGCCUGAUUCCCAGCCUUCUGAGCUCUCCCGUGUGCUCCGCAAUCUUCAUCUGUGGCAGAAACUUCUGGCUGCCCCCAGUAGCCAUCUCCCGGCUCACAGAGUAAUAGACGAGUUCGCCGGGCCAACGGCCGUCAGGGUACAGCUACGCCGCCCAGCUCCCUCGCUCCGGGGGCCCGCUGAGCAGACCACAGAUGGCGGAGUGUGAGCAGAAGGGACAUCCGCCUCCCCGAUGUCCCCUCCCGCCGGCUGCUGUGCGGAGACAUGCAUGUGCCUUCCUGGACCACGCGCUGAGGGCCUGAAAAACUCAUGGAGCAGAACCACCUUAGCAUUUCAGCUCCUCGCUAAGAAAGAAAGCCAUUCACUCUCGUUUAAGCCAUUUUACUCUCUGGGCUCCCUCCUCCGUAGCCACUCAUAGACCUCACAGGCUCCCCCAGCUUCAGGAAGCCAGACGCGGUUCCUGUGUCUUUUCUUUCUUGUCUUUCCUGUUCUGUGCUUUUCCUUCUCUCCCUUUCUCCCUCUUCCUUUUCUUUCUGUCCUUUUUUAUUAUCAAGCCCCGGAUUUCCGCCAUGUGUUAGGCACGAAACGUACCUCCAUCCUUAGCGCCCAUCAAGGCUCCCGUAGAUGUGAGCUCUGAUUCUGCUGCUCUCCGGUAUUCCUCACCCCCCGCUGUCCUGCAUGCCCCGGCCGCUUGCAGAGUCUCCCCUCCCAGGCCGGGUCCUCGCUUGCUCCGAGGAUCUGGCCCUGGGCCCUCGAGUUCCUACCUUCCUCCUCAACACUUGUCAAAAUAUUUUCUUCCAAACCGUGUCACAUUUCCUGCCAUGAGGAACUCGGGCGCCAGCUGUUCAGUUAACAAAAGCCCGCCCCCCCCCACUCUGAUGGGUUUGUUUUGUUUUGCUUUCCCUGUGAGCCCGGCGUCCAGCAUCUCUGUUCCUUUGAUUUUUAGAUGGAAAACAAAGCCCAGGGAGCAGGAGCCCACGGCCCAUGGAGAGAGGCCGGCUGGGGAGGGGUCAGCAGCCCCGAGCCGAGCCAGGUGACAAGCCAGAGGACAUUAGAUCUGGAAGAGCCACAAGAGGGACAGCGAGGCCCUCGCGGGACGUGACUGGCUGAGCCAGAGGCCACGCCGGGGUCCUGGUUCCGGGUCGGCGAUUCUCCUGUGGGAUCAGAGGCUCUCCCAGGUUGUUCCCACGCUGGCGUGUGAUGGUCCUGUCCUCCAGGGCCUCACGAGCUCAGAGAGGAGCUGCCACAUGCUCCUGAAGUCAAUGCCGUGUGGCAGAAAGCAUCGUGACAAGGGGCUGUGGGCACUCGGGGAGGGUGACUUGUCUCAGAGGGCGCACCGGGAGACUUCCUGGAGGAGGGGGCGUUUGGGUCGGUUCUGGAAGGAUAGGGAGGUGAGGACCAUGCAGUCUGGCGAGAGAGAGGGUGAGCGAGCAUCAUUCCAUAAGUCAGUAUCUGACGACAUAGUGGUGGACACUUUAAGGAGGGCUCAGGAGGUGCCAGAGCACCGGGCAGGCCCUGCCGGGGUUGGAUCGGGGGGCGGGUCUCCCAGGAGCUGUCAUCUCGUCUGGGAACUGGAAGGCAGGUAGCACUUCUCCCAUCAGGGGUGGGCCGGGCUCCCAGGGAGGUGGUCAGCAGAGGACAGUGUGAGGGCGGCCCCCAGGCAAGGAGCGCAGGUGCCCAGAGCACAGAGAGGAGAGACAGUACCAGAGAUGCAGGACGAGGCCACCAUGGGAUCGCAGCAAGGCGGUGAGGGCCAGAGUGCCGCCCAAACAAUCAACCGCGAGGGAGUGUGGCCCAGCCUGCUGGUUGCCCUUACUGUUCUUCCCGUCCUGCCUUGUCUCAGAGCUUCAGUUUUUCUGCUGGGCUGCAGCCACUCACAAUAAAAACUACAUUUCCCAGCCUCCCUCUCAAUUAGGUGUAACCACGUGACUAAGUCAUAAACACUAGAGUGUAAACAAAAAUGUCAUAGCAACUUGCAGGAACUGUCUUUAUGUGGAGUCCAGGAAUCCUUCUUUGUAAUGGCUGGAAUGCAGACAUGAUGGUUGGAGCUCAAGCAGCCAUCCUGAACCAUGAGUUGGGAGCCCUGUAUUAAGGGUAAUGAAACAAGCAGGUAGAAAGAGCUUGGGUCUUUGAUGGUCAUGGGUCUUCCACGCCUGCCCGGAAUUUGCCUCUAGAUUUUUGUCACUUGAGGAAAACCAAAUGCGCCAACCGUGUGCUGGAGCCGGGAUGCAGCAAUGAACAGAGUCACGGAGCUUGCUUCCUGCCGGGAUGAGACGGACUAUAACAGCAGGACAAAGUGGGCGUUCCUGCCCUGCGGGUGGCUCUCUUCCAUCCAGACUCGAGGAUCCAGCCUCCUUCCGCCCGUGGCUCUGCCAUCCAUCCCGUCAGCAUCUGCAUCCUGAUCGAGGAGGAGAGACUGGAGAAGACGCAUCUGCCUCUUAACAGCCGUGGCCCAGCAAUGGCACAUCCAACUUCCACUCACGUUCCACCAGGUGGAUCUCAUGGCCCACCCACACCGGCAAGGAGGCGGUGGGCUGGAAGACAUGGUGUCUUUCCAAUGACAAGUCUACACCACGGAAGGGGAGCGUGAGUUCUAGAGACAACCAGCCAUCUCCACCACACCCAGCUAGCGUCACCUCAUCCUUCAGGUGUCAAGUUCGAUGUGGCUUCCUCAGGAAUCCUACCCUGCAUCUCCAGGUCCGGGAUUCGGUGUCCCUCCUAUGCGCUUCCAGCACCCCUGCCUUCCCUGUACCACAUUGCACUGCCUGCUUGUUCGUCUCUGGAAAUGGGCCAUAAGCACCUUGAGGUCAAAUGACAUGUUUACCUGUGCACCUCCAGGGGCCAGCCUGGUGCCUGGCACAUAAUGGGCACAAUAAAUUAUUG